UACAGAGACUGCAAGCGUUAUUCGGAUUCACUGGGCGUAAAGGGCGCGUAGGCGGCGCGGAUAGUCGGCGGUGAAAGCCCGGAGCUCAACUCCGGGUCGGCCGUCGAUACUUCCGGGCUUGAGCACUGUAGAGGCAGAUGGAAUUCCGGGUGUAGCGGUGGAAUGCGUAGAGAUCCGGAAGAACACCGGUGGCGAAGGCGGCCUGCUGG
rnacentral:rRNA from 1 species